AUUGAACGCUGGCGGCAGGCCUAACACAUGCAAGUCGAACGAGUGGCGGACUGGUGAGUAAUGUCUGGGCAACUGCCUGAUGGAGGGGGCUAACUACUGGAAACGGUAGCUAAUACCGCAUACCAUCAGAUGUGCCCAGAUGGGAUUAGCUAGUUGGUGGGGGAACGGCUCACCAAGGCGACGCUCCCUAGCUGGUCUGAGAGGAUGACCAGCCACACUGGAACUGAGACACGGUCCAGAAUCCUACGGGAGGCAGCAGUGGGGAAUAUUGCACAAUGGGCGCAAGGCGGAUACAGCCAUGCCGGGUGUAUGAAGAAGGCCUUCGGGUUGUAAAGUACUUGCAGCGGGGAGGCGGUACCCGAAGAAGAAGCACCGGCUAACUCCGUGCCAGCAGCCGCGGUAAUAC
rnacentral:rRNA from 1 species